UACGAAGGGGGCUAGCGUUGCUCGGAAUCACUGGGCGUAAAGGGCGCGUAGGCGGGCUCUUAAGUCAGAGGUGAAAGCCCAAGGCUCAACCUUGGAAUUGCCUUUGAUACUGAGGGCCUUGAGACCGGAAGAGGUCGGCGGAACUGCGAGUGUAGAGGUGAAAUUCGUAGAUAUUCGCAAGAACACCAGUGGCGAAGGCGGCUCACUGGCCCGGUACUGACGCUGAGGUGCGAAAGCGUGGGGAGCAAACAGG
rnacentral:rRNA from 1 species